rnacentral:rRNA from 1 species
AUUGAACGCUGGCGGCAUGCCUUACACAUGCAAGUCGAACGGUAACAGGUCUUCGGAUGCUGACGAGUGGCGAACGGGUGAGUAAUACAUCGGAACGUGCCCAGACGUGGGGGAUAACGAGGCGAAAGCUUUGCUAAUACCGCAUACGAUCUAAGGAUGAAAGCAGGGGACCGCAAGGCCUUGCGCGUUUGGAGCGGCCGAUGGCAGAUUAGGUAGUUGGUGGGAUAAAAGCUUACCAAGCCGACGAUCUGUAGCUGGUCUGAGAGGACGACCAGCCACACUGGGACUGAGACACGGCCCAGACUCCUACGGGAGGCAGCAGUGGGGAAUUUUGGACAAUGGGCGAAAGCCUGACCCAGCAAUGCCGCGUGCAGGAUGAAGGCCUUCGGGUUGUAAACUGCUUUUGUACGGAACGAAAAGGCUCUGGCUAAUACCUGGGGCACAUGACGGUACCGUAAGAAUAAGCACCGGCUAACUACGUG